UAGUCACACAGGUAGACCAUAGCUCC
rnacentral:piRNA from 1 species